rfam:Musa acuminata subsp. malaccensis Doubled-haploid Pahang (DH-Pahang) genomic chromosome, chr11
UGCCUAUGAUGCAUAAAUAUGCACGUAUUAUCAGACAUGUAAUGAUGAUAUAUGAAUUGUCACUACCACUGAGGCA